UUGACACUGAACAUUGAGCCUUGAUGUGUAGGAUAGGUGGGAGGCUUUGAAGUGUGGACGCCAGUCUGCAUGGAGCCGACCUUGAAAUACCACCCUUUAAUGUUUGAUGUUCUAACGUGGACCCGUAAUCCGGGUUGCGGACAGUGUCUGGUGGGUAGUUUGACUGGGGCGGUCUCCUCCUAAAGAGUAACGGAGGAGCACGAAGGUUGGCUAAUCCUGGUCGGACAUCAGGAGGUUAGUGCAAUGGCAUAAGCCAGCUUGACUGCGAGCGUGACGGCGCGAGCAGGUGCGAAAGCAGGUCAUAGUGAUCCGGUGGUUCUGAAUGGAAGGGCCAUCGCUCAACGGAUAAAAGGUACUCCGGGGAUAACAGGCUGAUACCGCCCAAGAGUUCAUAUCGACGGCGGUGUUUGGCACCUCGAUGUCGGCUCAUCACAUCCUGGGGCUGAAGUAGGUCCCAAGGGUAUGGCUGUUCGCCAUUUAAAGUGGUACGCGAGCUGGGUUUAGAACGUCGUGAGACAGUUCGGUCCCUAUCUGCCGUGGGCGCUGGAGAACUGAGGGGGGCUGCUCCUAGUACGAGAGGACCGGAGUGGACGCAUCACUGGUGUUCGGGUUGUCAUGCCAAUGGCACUGCCCGGUAGCUAAAUGCGGAAGAGAUAAGUGCUGAAAGCAUCUAAGCACGAAACUUGCCCCGA
rnacentral:rRNA from 2 species